rnacentral:rRNA from 1 species
GCUAACGCUGGCGGCGUGUCUUAGCCAUGCAAGUCGAGCGGACUUAUGGGGUAACUUAUAAGUCAGCGGCGGACGGCGGAGUAACACGUAGCUAACCUACCCUCUGGACGGGGAUAACCUACCGAAAGGUGGGCUAAUACCCGAUGUAGUCAUCCUGUAUAGGGGUGAUGAAAGGUGGGCUUCUGUUUACAAGCUCAUGCUGGAGGAGGGGGCUGCGGCCUAUCAGGUAGUUGGUAGGGUAAUAGCCUACCAAGCCGACGAUCUGUAGCUGGUCUGAGAGGACGACCAGCCACACUGGGACUGAGACACGGCCCAGACUCCUACGGGAGGCAGCAGUGGGGAAUUUUGGACAAUGGGCGCAAGCCUGAUCCAGCCAUGCCGCGUGCAGGAUGAAGGCCUUCGGGUUGUAAACUGCUUUUGUACGGAACGAAAAAGCUCUCUCUAAUACAGGGGGUGAAUGACGGUACCGUAAGAAUAAGCACCGGCUAACUACGUG